AGCUUUGCGCAGUGCAAUAUCGUAGCCAGUGAGGUUUAUCCGAGGCGCGAUUAUGCUAAUUGAAAACUUUUCCCAAUACCCCACCGUGACGACUUGAAAUAUAGUCGGCAUUGGCAAAUUUUGACAGCCUCUACAGAGA
rnacentral:snRNA from 1 species